GAUGAACGCUGGCGGCGUGCCUAAUACAUGCAAGUCGAGCGAACAGAUAAGGUGCUUGCUCCUUUGACGUUAGCGGCGGACGGGUGAGUAACACGUGGGUAACCUACCUAUAAGACUGGGAUAACUUCGGGAAACCGGAGCUAAUACCGGAUAACAUUUGGAACCGCAUGGUUCUAAAGUGAAAGAUGGUUUUGCUAUCACUUAUAGAUGGACCCGCGCCGUAUUAGCUAGUUGGUAAGGUAACGGCUUACCAAGGCGACGAUACGUAGCCGACCUGAGAGGGUGAUCGGCCACACUGGAACUGAGACACGGUCCAGACUCCUACGGGAGGCAGCAGUAGGGAAUCUUCCGCAAUGGGCGAAAGCCUGACGGAGCAACGCCGCGUGAGUGAUGAAGGGUUUCGGCUCGUAAAACUCUGUUAUUAGGGAAGAACAAAUGUGUAAGUAACUGUGCACGUCCUGACGGUACCUAAUCAGAAAGCCACGGCUAACUACGUG
rnacentral:rRNA from 1 species